CAGGUUUCUGAGGGAAGAGAGAAGAGUUUGUAGUGGGGCAAGAAACAGGACCAUGAGGAAAGAUGGUCAGAGUUGCUGGAGUUGAGGAAGAAGCAGCAGUAGCAGGUAAGUGAGGCAAUUCACUGCCAGAUUUAUUCCAGACCCUUCAAGUCUCCCUAUUUUCCAGGGACAGUCCCAGGUUUACACAAGCCAUCCUGGUUUCUGAUUUGAUCCUAAGAUGUCCCAUUUUCCCUUAGGAUGUCCCUAUUUUCAUUGGAAAAAUGUUGGAGGGUAUGGAAUAGGAUGCCCCUAUAUUCAUCAAAGAAAUGUUGGAAGGUAUGCUAUUCCACUGCCACUGUGGGGCAAUCAUGGGGCCCACAUCUGCUCUGGACCAGUCAGUAACUACAGGCACAUGCAGUGCUGAUGGAACUGUCCCCCGUUGCCACUACCACCUUGCUAAGAAUGAAUUUAUUUCCCCCUCCCUCAGUUGCCCCUCAAUAGCAGCAGAGUGUACCAGAGAAUCAUCACAUCAGCCACCGCAAAGGGGAGGAAAAGGUCUAGGAAAGGAGGUAGCAAAAGGCCCAGAGAAGGAGGAGACUUGGGCGAGGCAGGAUGGAGAAAAGAGAGAAACGCACGGAGGAGUCUGAAAGAGGGUCAUCACAACCAUCAGCUGACAACUUGCCAGGACUCAAGGCAGCGCUGUGUCAGUUAAGGAAUGUGUGCACUACCAACCAUGCAGCUCUGGACAAAGAAGGGAAUUGCGGGGAGACCGGUCACCCUGGUAGGAAGCCUCUUCUUACCAACCAGGCGGAAUGGAUCAAGUGGUGGUCAGAGAGUUUCACCAGAAGCUCCUAGGGCAGGUUUACCUGCAGCCCCAGCUUUUUAAAAUCAGAUGUGGGGAACCUUUGGUCUUCUAGAGGUUGCUGAACUUCAACUCCCAGAAAGCAUUGCCAGUGGCCAGGGAGGAUGUGAGCUGUAGUUCAGCAAUAUCAGGAGGUUCUCCACACCUGGGAUGAAUCUUCCCUCAUGGUUUUUAAUGUUAAGGAAGGGUUAGAGAAGGGUUUUGAUAAUGUAAAUGGACACAUGGCGCCCUACUUUUUAUGUUCAUGAUGCAUUAUUACCUUGUCUUUUUUAAUCCCCUUAUGCUGCUAAUUGGUGAAACAUGAAGGGGAGGAAGGAGGAAGGAAGAAUUAAAAUGUGAUACCAGUAGGUGGAGCAGAACAACCAGCGACCAACAGCAGGGAAAGAAACAGUGUUUUGGGAAAUAACGUGGGUGGGUAUUACUAACAUUUGACGGGGAAAAAACAAGGUAAAAAACAUUUUAGUUAACAAGUAUGCCCUGUGACAUUUUAAAAUGCCAUAUCUAAUAUUGUUCCAGUAAGGGAAAAUGACGUUAAAUGGGUCAGCGUAGAUCCAGCCCUGAUUUCAAUGGACUCAACGCUUCCUCUCGAUUGUGGAGAUGUUCUGGAAUGAUUGGGCUGAAUCCAGACUUAGCCAUACGGACGUAGAGCAGACCCACUGAAAC